rnacentral:lncRNA from 1 species
AAGGAAAUAAUAGUGGCAGUUUUCCUAGGAUUGUAGAUUAAAUGACAGCUUGCAUUUUAGAUUUUGCAAAGAUUUUAUAAAUAUUAACUCAUUUUAUCCUUGCAAUAAAGCUAGGAGGAUCAAUGAAAAUGCCCCUACAGUGGGGAAGUGGGCAAAGUUUAUGAAGAUAUUCAUUAAUCACAUCUGUACUAUUGCAAGAGCCCCCAAUCCAUCCAUGCAGCCCAGGAUCCAUCCUGCAAAGUGCCUCACAGAAGCCUGGAUCCGAGAUUGUCUUCUGAUGAUCACAUCAGAAGGGUGGCUUCUGGUAUCCACAGGAGAAAGAUAGCCCCUACCUAAGAAAACUAGGGCAAUAUAUGCAUGGAUGGAUGGAACUCCCCAGUAUACAAAGACCUGUUCCUCACUCACAAUACUGUAAGAGAAUGUUUUUCUCCAAAGGAAGAAAAUAACACUUGGAAUGAGGAUCUAUUUGUCCCAAAGAUGUAUGUAAAUCCUUCAUCACACCCUGCCAAUCUAUCAUAAAAGACAUCCAAGUCUUACCUUGGUCCACUGUUGUUUCCACUAUACUCAUAUUCCUUAUUGCUAUUGAUUAUUAUUAUCAUUAUGUAAAUGACUAAAUAAAUAA